UACGUAGGUCCCGAGCGUUGUCCGGAUUUAUUGGGCGUAAAGCGAGCGCAGGUGGUUUAUUAAGUCUGGUGUAAAAGGCAGUGGCUCAACCAAUGUAUGCAUUGGAAACUGGUAGACUUGAGUGCAGGAGAGGAGAGUGGAAUUCCAUGUGUAGCGGUGAAAUGCGUAGAUAUAUGGAGGAACACCGGUGGCGGAAGCGGCUCUCUGGCCUGUAACUGACACUGAGGCUCGAAAGCGUGGGGAGCAAACAGG
rnacentral:rRNA from 1 species